AGAUAUAUGUAGAUCCCUUCAUGAAUGAGAUCACCCAUUUUUGUCUCCCUAAUUUGCUGCCUCUCAUGAAGGCAACAAGCAAGUACCUUCAUGAAGCUUUUGAAUUCUAUGAGGAGCUUCUUUCAACGAGAUAUCCUUACUCAUGUUACAAACAAGUUUAUGUUGAUGGAAGCAUAUAAUAGUCUUCACUCUUAUGCAACCAUGAGCAUUCUUGAUGUGAAUUUGCUGUGUAGUAACAGAAUUAUUGACCAAGUUUAUGAAACCAGAAAAACAAUGGCUCUUUGUGUGGCACAGCAGUUCUUUGGAUGCUUUCUCCC